CCCUUAGAUGUCCGGGGCUGCACGCGCGCUACACUGAAGGAAUCAGCGUGCUAAAACCAUUGUCGAAAGGCAUCGGUAAACCCAUUAAAAUCCUACGUGAUUGGGAUCGGGAAUUGCAAUUAUUUCCCUUGAACGAGGAAUUCCCAGUAAGUGUGGGUCAUAAGCUCGCGUUGAUUACGUCCCUGCCCUUUGUACACACCGCCCGUCGCUGCCCGGGACUGAGCCGUUUCGAGAAAAGCGGGGACUGCUGCUGUCGGGGCUUUCGGGCCUUGGCUUCGGUGGAAACCGCUUUAAUCGCAGUGGCUUGAACCGGGCAAAAGUCGUAACA
rnacentral:rRNA from 1 species